GUCCUAGCCGUAAACGGUGCACGUUUGCUGUAAAAGGAAUCGACCCCUUUUGUGGCGUAGCUAACGCGUUAAACGUGCCGCCUGGGAAGUACGGUCGCAAGAUUAAAACUCAAAGAAAUUGACGGGGGCCUGCACAAGCGGUGGAGUAUGUGGCUCAAUUCGAUGCAACGCGAAGAACCUUACCUGGCCUUGACAUGCAUAUAGUAGAAGGGUGAAAGCCUGACGAGGUAGCAAUACCAGUAUGCACAGGUGCUGCAUGGCUGUCGU
rnacentral:rRNA from 1 species